rnacentral:rRNA from 1 species
GUGAGCGCUGGCGGUAGGCCUAACACAUGCAAGUCGAACGGCAGCACAGUAAGAGCUUGCUCUUACGGGUGGCGAGUGGCGGACGGGUGAGGAAUACAUCGGAAUCUACUUUUUCGUGGGGGAUAACGUAGGGAAACUUACGCUAAUACCGCAUACGACCUACGGGUGAAAGCAGGGGAUCUUCGGACCUUUCGCGAUUGCAUGAGCCGAUGUCGGAUUAGCUAGUUGGCGGGGUAAAGGCCCACCAAGGCGACGAUCCGUAGCUGGUCUGAGAGGAUGAUCAGCCACACUGGAACUGAGACACGGUCCAGACUCCUACGGGAGGCAGCAGUGGGGAAUAUUGGACAAUGGGCGCAAGCCUGAUCCAGCCAUACCGCGUGGGUGAAGAAGGCCUUCGGGUUGUAAAGCCCUUUUGUUGGGAAAGAAAAGCAGCAGGUUAAUACCCCGCUGUUCUGACGGUACCCAAAGAAUAAGCACCGGCUAACUUCGUG